rnacentral:sRNA from 1 species
GCUGGGCACAGUGGCGCACGCCUGUAAUCCCAGUGGUUUGGGAGGCUGAGACAGGAGAAUUGCGAGUUCAAAGCCAGCCUUAGCAACUUCAAGGACCUAAGCAAUUCAGUGAGACCCUGUCUUUA